CCUGCUCUGUGAACCCAUCAUCAUCAUCUGGAUGGAAAUACUACUGGUACAGAGAUGGAAAUUACUCUGAAGCCCGAACCACACAAGAUGCAGUUUUCCACUCAAAUGGACAAAUCAGUGUCUCACAGGAAGGACUCUACAGGUGCAGAGGAGGAAGAGGAAACCCAGUUUACUACACAGAGGACAGCCAAGAAGUUCAGAUUAACAAAACUGUAACUGUGUCAGGAGCUGACAGCUCAUCUUCUCCUGUGUGGUUGAUUGUUGGACUGGUUUGUGGAGUCUCUCUCAUUAUUAUUCUCCUGCUCUUGUUGUAUCGCUGCAGACAGUCCAAGUAUUCCUGCUUCACCAGGU